GCUGAGGCUGCAGGGGAGUCUCAUGUUGUGAGACUGAGGAGAGCGUCUCUGGAGUUGGUUCUCUGCAGGCGAGACUCGGAUAUAGGAACUAACAAGACGGACACAUCCUUUCUGUCAAAGGACUUCCAUAGGAAAACCUUUUGGUUGGAAAUGUACUGGGGACUGCACGACUGGAUACAAAGAGCGGGCUGGUCACCUGGAGACGGGGUGCCGCUGCGGCAUGACACGGAGCUGUUCGCCAACGGUGGCUGUGGACCUGUGGACUCCGUUGAAGGAGCAGCCCUGCGCCGUACAGUUGGUGAAGUCGAACAGCUCGCGGACCAGCUCCCGGCACCUGUCUGAGUCGGGGCUCCCCACAAAGAUGAUCUGC